GCUCGGGCUGCGCGGGCGGCGCCGGCGAGGGGGCCGAGGAGGCGGCCAAGGACCUGGCCGACAUCGCGGCCUUCUUCCGAUCCGAAAGUCAAAUGCAGAGGAGAUCUAGCUGCAUACUAGAGACCCAAAGAAUCCAGCUGAGGCCCUGGAUCCCACAGAAGUAUCCAGCACAAGUCCAGCUGAAGAUCUAGAGCACAAGGCAGCAUCCUCCAUGAGUCCAGCCAGUGGCCUGGAGCCCACGGCAGUGUCUCAUGCUUGUCCAUAUCAAGGAUCUGCACCCAGAAGGCCCAAAGGCCAAUGGUGGAAGCCAGAAAACCUGUGCCAGUGGGGUGAAGGAUUUGUGCCACCAAGCUGAGGGAUCCACAUUGGAGCCAGGAAGUGACUCUCAUGGUGAAGAUCAGAGCUCCUCUGACGAGAACAGCAGCCACUCCCAGUGACAGCAAGACUGGAGCUCCUCCUCUGGUGAGAACAGCCAAGUUCUCAUCAGGAAAACCAGCCACAGCAGGCCUCUCCUAGAAAAUCAACAGCCCAUGAUGAGCUUCCCCUCCAGGUCUCUUUUUAUGCCAUUGACAGCAAUCCUCAGGUGGGUCUUCCACACCCAAGCACGCUGAUUCAGCUCAGCUGGGCAUUCCAAGCUGACUAUUAGAUAAUCCACCACGAUGACAAUCCAUUAUUAUCAUUAUUUACUAUAUUGCUCAAGUUGUUCUAAUAGACCAAAUUUUAAUUUGUCCUGAGUACUCCCUUUUUCCUAAGCAGUCCCUUUUUUGUCUAUUUUAG
rnacentral:lncRNA from 1 species